UACAGAGGUCUCAAGCGUUGUUCGGAUUCAUUGGGCGUAAAGGGUGCGUAGGCGGCGCGGUAAGUCGGGUGUGAAAUCUCGGAGCUUAACUCCGAAACUGCAUUCGAUACUGCCGUGCUUGAGGACUGGAGAGGAGACUGGAAUUUACGGUGUAGCGGUGAAAUGCGUAGAUAUCGUAAGGAAGACCAGUGGCGAAGGCGGGUCUCUGGUCUGUAACUGACGCUGAGGUGCGAAAGCUAGGGGAGCAAACGGG
rnacentral:rRNA from 1 species